GGAGUUCCUCUGCUGCUACUUCCUCUCUCUCACUCUCAAACCGAUCAUAGGCUAGGGAGGAGCUCGGUUGGGGAAUUCGUCGCCGACGUCGCGCCGCGAAGCCAUUCGAGCACACUUUCGACGUCGUGUUGCUGCAAGGAGGUCGGGCGAGUGCGGCUUUUCGCCAUCCUUGACGUCGUGCUGAUUCUAGGUACAUGUUGAAGUGUUUUAUCUGUGGGCAUUCCUCCAAGUACUUCAAUUCCGUUAAUUUCGAGCUCGGGUGCUACUGCUGCAGAUUUCUGCGUCGACUGUCGGUAUUUUGGCUCGUACGCGACGUAGGAGUAUCGGAUUGCGACGAGACUUGGUUCGUUGGAUUCGGGACUUCGAGAGGAAUCCACGAAGCCCUUACUUGCGAAUUUUGGUGAAGG
rnacentral:lncRNA from 1 species